AAAAAUGGAUCAAAUGAAAAUAAGGAGAAAGAACCAACAACACUAGAGGAUCUUGGUCCUGAAGGAGGCCUCCCGUCUUUAUGCAGCAAGCUGGGUACGAGACAUUGGUCCUGAACUCCGCCCAAAUGAUUACAAGAAGGAAGAAAGUGCAGAUAAAAAUGGAUCAAAUGAAAAUAAGGAGAAAGAACCAACAACACUAGAGGAUCUUGGUCCUGAAGGAGGCCUCCCGUCUUUAUGCAGCAAGCUGGGUACGAGACAUUGGUCCUGAACUCCGCCCAAAUGAUUACAAGAAGGAAGAAAGUGCAGAUAAAAAUGGAUCAAAUGAAAAUAAGGAGAAAGAACCAACAACACUAGAGGAUCUUGGUCCUGAAGGAGGCCUCCCGUCUUUAUGCAGCAAGCUGGGUACGAGACAUUGGUCCUGAACUCCGCCCAAAUGAUUACAAGAAGGAAGAAAGUGCAGAUAAAAAUGGAUCAAAUGAAAAUAAGGAGAAAGAACCAACAACACUAGAGGAUCUUGGUCCUGAAGGAGGCCUCCCGUCUUUAUGCAGCAAGCUGGGUACGAGACAUUGGUCCUGAACUCCGCCCAAAUGAUUACAAGAAGGAAGAAAGUGCAGAUAAAAAUGGAUCAAAUGAAAAUAAGGAGAAAGAACCAACAACACUAGAGGAUCUUGGUCCUGAAGGAGGCCUCCCGUCUUUAUGCAGCAAGCUGGGUACGAGACAUUGGUCCUGAACUCCGCCCAAAUGAUUACAAGAAGGAAGAAAGUGCAGAUAAAAAUGGAUCAAAUGAAAAUAAGGAGAAAGAACCAACAACACUAGAGGAUCUUGGUCCUGAAGGAGGCCUCCCGUCUUUAUGCAGCAAGCUGGGUACGAGACAUUGGUCCUGAACUCCGCCCAAAUGAUUACAAGAAGGAAGAAAGUGCAGAUAAAAAUGGAUCAAAUGAAAAUAAGGAGAAAGAACCAACAACACUAGAGGAUCUUGGUCCUGAAGGAGGCCUCCCGUCUUUAUGCAGCAAGCUGGGUACGAGACAUUGGUCCUGAACUCCGCCCAAAUGAUUACAAGAAGGAAGAAAGUGCAGAUAAAAAUGGAUCAAAUGAAAAUAAGGAGAAAGAACCAACAACACUAGAGGAUCUUGGUCCUGAAGGAGGCCUCCCGUCUUUAUGCAGCAAGCUGGGUACGAGACAUUGGUCCUGAACUCCGCCCAAAUGAUUACAAGAAGGAAGAAAGUGCAGAUAAAAAUGGAUCAAAUGAAAAUAAGGAGAAAGAACCAACAACACUAGAGGAUCUUGGUCCUGAAGGAGGCCUCCCGUCUUUAUGCAGCAAGCUGGGUACGAGACAUUGGUCCUGAACUCCGCCCAAAUGAUUACAAGAAGGAAGAAAGUGCAGAUAAAAAUGGAUCAAAUGAAAAUAAGGAGAAAGAACCAACAACACUAGAGGAUCUUGGUCCUGAAGGAGGCCUCCCGUCUUUAUGCAGCAAGCUGGGUACGAGACAUUGGUCCUGAACUCCGCCCAAAUGAUUACAAGAAGGAAGAAAGUGCAGAUAAAAAUGGAUCAAAUGAAAAUAAGGAGAAAGAACCAACAACACUAGAGGAUCUUGCGGUUGCUGCUAGAGGAGGGAUGGAGACUUUAAGACCUGCUCUGCAACGGUUGUACAUGACCAGAGCUUCUGCCUACAAGGAUGCUAUGAAGAGUUUCAUCGCUGGGUACCAGGAGGGUAUCCAACAAGUUGUGGACAAGAAAGAAAAGUAUGAAUCUCAAAAUCCCGAAGAUGAUUCAAAAAAGCCGUUUUAACCGCAAUGAAUAAAUAGUGAGUGAGAACAAUGACUACUGAUGUAAUGGAACUGCUCUAUAUACGAAGACUGGAAACAACUCGAGGUAUCAUGUUUACAAUUUUGUAUCGCCAGAAUCAGCUGUCGGAACAUAGUUUUAGACUUCUAAUUAUUAUUAUUAUUAAGUUUUCUAAGGCAGAAAAGAGUAGACAUGUAGAUUGUGGAACCUGAGGUAGCAUGCUUUGAUGAUUUUACUAGUUGAAUAUAGAUACUAAGAUGAUACUUGAGGAAGGAAAUGAUAUUUGAAGUUAUUUUUUA